rnacentral:lncRNA from 1 species
UAAUGGAACAAAAUGCAAAGACCCAAAUAUGACCACAUCUCACUUAGCCACUUAAUAUUUGACAAAGAGACCAAAAACACACACUGGAAGAAAAAAAGAAAUCAUCUUCUCAAAUAGUUCUGAGGAAAUUGGAUGACCACAUGCAGAAGAAUGAAAUUAGACCCAUUUUUUAUCACCUUGCUUGAAAACUAUAAGUGGAUCAACGACCAAACCUGAGAUCCAAAACUACUGGAAGAAAACACAGGGAGUGCCCUACAUGGUUGAGGGUAGGAAAGGUCACCGUUUUCCCCAAGAAGCAAGGCUUCGAUUGUUUAGUGAGAUUUCACAGAAGUAACAAGCCUCUGCAUAGCUAAAGAAAGAGCCAGGUGAAGAGGAGGACCACAGAAUGGGAGAGACUCUUCACCAGCUAGACAUCUGACAGAGGUUUAAUAUCCACAACAUAGAACUAAAAAAUACAAAGAGGAGUCUGGGACAUGAAUGGAGAGUUUCAAAAGAAGGAAAAAAUUACUAAGAAAUAUCUCAAAAUCUGUUCACCAUCCAUAGCAAUUAGCAAAAUCUAAAUCAAAACUUUGUGAUUUCAUUUGAUCCUAGUGAGAAUGGCUGGAAUCAACAAACAACCUACAUCAAACGCUGAGUACUCGUUUACUGCUGUGGGUAUUGCAAAUAGGUACAGGUACUGUUGAAAUCAGUGGAGAGAACUCUCAAAAGGUUAAACAAUAUAUAUAUUGUAUGACUCAGCUAUACCGCCCCUUGGCAUAUGCCCAAAGGGUUCAACAUUCUACUCCACAGAAAUUUGUUCAGCUGUGUUCAUUGCUGUUCUACUCACUAUAGCUAGGAAAUAGAAACAAAACAUAAACCAAAAACUGGAAGACCUACUCCUUGAUUCUAAAAUGACUAGAAUAACCAAAAUAAUAUAACAGCAGUAUAAACAUAGGCAGAUGUAUAGAACAGUAGAACAAAGAACAGAGAAAGUAUUUGCAUAUAUGGUCAAAUGAGUUUUGAGAAAUAGUGUCAAAACCAUUCAACAGAAAAAGCAAAGUAUGAUCUUUCAACUAAUGCCCCUGGGAAAACUGGAGAUCUACAUGCAAAAGAACUAACUCCACAUACCAAAAUUAACUCAAAAUGGACCAAAUACCUCACUAGAAGAUCCUUGAAGAAAAUAUAAGAACACCAAAGGCACAGAUAAAAAUACAAUAGAUAAAAUAGACUUCAUAAAAAUAAUAAAGUAAAAAGACAACAAACAAAAGAAUAAAGAUAUGAAAAUUAAAUACUAUGUAAGCAAUUAUUAUCAAGAUAAAGACUCCCUAAAAUACAGCAACAACAAAGCCACUCAGAAAUAGGCAAAAGGCCUGAUUUAUAGAUAUUUCUCCAGAGAACAUAUACAAAUAACCAAUAAACAUAAAAAUAUCUAAACACCAUUAAUACUAGGAAAUUGUAAACUGAAAUUGAAAAGAGAUACCACCUGACAUUCAGUAUUAUUAUCAGUUAAAAAAUAAGCAAAAAACCAAACUGUUGGCCACAACUUAGAGAAAUGGAAACUAUUAUAUACUAUAGUUCAUUAAAAAUUAAAAACAGAAUUAUCAUACAAUCCUCUAACUCCAUUUCUGGAUGUAUAGCCAAAAGAUUUUUUUUUUUUGGUUUCUUUGUUUCUCAGAAAGGAUCACACCAUUGAGCCCUGGCUGGCUUGGAAAUCACUAUCUAGGCAGGGAGACCUGUACUCAAAGAAAUCCACUUGCCUCCCUUUCCCAUGUGCUGUGGUUAAAGGCAUACAUCCUUGUUCCACUGAAAAGAGUGCUUUGAAAAGAGAAUUUCUUUCACUCUAUUCACAGCACACAGACAACAGCUAAAAUGUGAAACAAUUUACAUAUCUAUCAUUGGUAAACAAAAUGUGAUGAAUAUACAGCUAUUCAGCUUUCAAAAAGGAAAUUCAAGUAUAUACUACAAUGUCCAUAAAUGAAAGGACCACGGGCUAUAUAAUAAGCCAGCCACAAAAAACCUAGGUAUUAUUAUGUUUCCACUAUAAACAGACAUGGUUAUUAAUGUUAUGGAGACUGAAAACUAGAUAGUCACUGUUUAAUAGGUAUAGUUUUCAGUCUUAAAAGAGGCCAGGCAGGGAGUGAUGCAUGCCUUUAACCGUAGCACUCUGAAGGCAGAGGCAGGCAAAUCUCUAUGAAUUCAGGCCAGCCUGAUCUACAACAUGAGUUCCAGGAUUGCCAAGGCUACAAAAAGAAAAAAAAGGUGGAAAAAAGGAAAAGAAAUAGAAAGAAAAUGGAUGCCUGAUAUUAUUAAAUUACUUAAUACUAUUAUGUUGUACACAUAAAAAUGAAUACAUUAACAAAUUGUGUUAUACACACAUUUGACAAUAAAAAGGUUUUAAAAUGUAUAAUAUUUCUAUUAACUUAAGCUCAAUGUUUUUAAUUGUUUAAACAUACUGUCAAAUUAUAUAUACAUAUAUGUAUAUAUAUACAGGCUUGAGAAAAGCAACAUUAAUAUUAAGAAAUUAAUAUUUGAAAACCUGAAACUAGCUCCUUUCAUGAAAUUUAAUAAAAAUUAAUUUAUGUGAAAAAUUAUACAGGUAACAAUUUUAACAAAAAACUAACAAUACCUUAGAGGCACGAAUCUGCCUGUGGAUAUCUGUUAGCUGCUGGAUUUUGUAUUCCAGCUCUGAAAUCUGAGCUUGAAGCCAAGUCCAUCGGCUGCCAACUUGUGCUCUGUCUACAAGCCACUUCCAUUCAGUACUAGAGUUGCUGGGAACAAAACAAACACUGUUAGUCAAAGCACAAAGUCAGAUUGUCAGAGUGCUAAUAACUUCCUUGACUAGUUUCAUAAAAUGUAAUUUCUUUUAGAAGACAUGUACACUACAUCAAGGGAAAAUAGCAGACUGAUUUCUUAUCAAAGGAAAUUUGAUUCCUUACCUUUCUACCACAUGAAUACUUGGCUUUCGUCAAUAUUAUGUACCUAACAGUAGGAUAAUCCCUCUGUAAUUUAAUAUGCUACUGAUGCUAAGGGCUUGCAUGGGGAAUGAACCAGUAAGGAAAAGGAAACAAGAAUAACAACUCCAACAUCCCGUAACAUCUGUUCUGUGAGGAUUUUACAAGUAAAAGUGGAAGUCAAGUACUAGAUAACCCAUCUGAACUAUACCUAAAUUCACUUACUAAACUCUAGUGUACCUGAUUUAACUGUAAUUUCUACUUAGUAGACUAUAGCAUCAUUAUAUUACUAAUACUUAAAAUUAAAGGCAUUGACAAUAAUUUACAAAAAUGAAUCCUCUGCUGUAUUUCCUUCUCAUUUUCCCUCUCCUCCCUUUCCCUUCCCUCCCUCCCUCCAUUCCUCUCUCCCUCUGCCCCUUGCUUCCUCUCUUUCUUUCUUUUAAUAGUAUCUCACUGAAUACGUUGGAUGGCCUGAACCAAGCUCUGUAGCCCAGGCUGGCCUCAAACUCAGAAAUCUACCUGCCUCUGACUCCCAAAUGCCUGUGCCACUAUGACCAGACUUUACAUUUCAAAUCACUAUUUUGAAUACAUAGGUCUUCCAUUGUUUUUUUAAGAUAAAUAUCUAGUUAAAAAUUUAAUGACUAUGUUGCACAAUACGAGGAACAAAAAGAAUUUAUAAAGACCUCUACUUUCAUUUAUGUUUUGAAAUAAAUGUUGAAACCUCUUAGUUCCUCUAUCUUUUAGCAGGGGCACUCUUAGAAGCUAUAGUUUUGGGGACUACAAAUGAAUUAUUUCAUGAAAAUAGUGUAAGUGCAUGAGCUAGAAAAAUAAAUAAUUGUAAUAACACAUGGUAUGGCAGGAGGUAGUGGGAAAUAAGGGAAGGAGGAAGGAAAUUUAAUAGACUGCCAAGGAGAAAAUAUCACCAAAAAUUAAAAGUAUAAUUCCAAACUAAUAACUGUAAUAGAAAAAUAUAUGAAUAUUUUUAAAAUUAUCUAAAAUGUAUAUAUUUCCAUGAUCAUAGAAUGAGCUAUAAUGAUAAUUACAGGUGAUAAUAACAGAUCAAUAUCAGAUGGUAAUUGAUAUGGAAGUUGUGAGUGAACUUGUGGGGACAGAGAGGACACAGGAAUUCUGAUAUUUACUGUUUUACUUUGAAGCCAAAACUACUCUAAAAGUGAAGAAAAUGUAUAAUGGAAACAAAACAAAUCAAAUGAAAUAGGUCAUACAAAAUGGCACAUGCCUUUUAUCCCAGCACUCAGAAGACACAGGCAGGCUGAUUGCUCUGCAUUCAAGGACAGCCUGGUCUACAUAGUGAGUUCCAGGACAGCCAGAGCAUAGGAAGACUCUGUUUUGAAAACAACAACAAUAAUAAUAACUUUAUGAUGGAAUGUGCAUAUAAACUCAGCCAGAGGAGAUAGUGAAGAAAAUUUUCUGUCAGAUAAAAAAAAGUCAAUUAUUGUAACUUUGCUACAUACAAUUUAGUAAGUAUAAGAUUUUAUAUCAGUAUUUCUAUGAUACCAUAUGCAGUAGAGUUUCUCUAGACAUAUUUACAUUUUCAGUUUACAAUCAAAAUUUUAAUUUUUCAAAUUUUGAACAUUUUUAAAUCAAAGUGAGAGAGUACAUGUUUUAAAUUCAUUUUAUAGAGAUAGUAUUUAGUAGUACUAAAUGCCUAUCAUGAAGUUUGGAGAGUAAAGCAAGAGUCAUACCAACACAACUUGAACAGGUGAGAAUAAUGAUUUAGUGUAAAGUGGGAGCUACUUAGAAAGUACUAACAAAAUUAUUUCCCCAAGCAGUGUUGCUACUAAAGCCAUGAGACAUG